rnacentral:misc_RNA from 1 species
GUGCUCAAAAUGUGUAACCAUUUGAUGCUGGUUAUAUGUUCUUGGUCUUACUAUCUGAUGACAGGUUGUUGGUGGUGGCAAAUGCUGGAGACUGCCGAGCAGUGUUAUGCCGUCGUGGCAAAGCAAUUGAAAUGUCUAGGGAUCAUAAACCAACUUGCAGCAAAGAGAGGAAGCGUAUUGAGGCGUCAGGGGGACAUGUUUUUGAUGGUUACCUCAAUGGUCUACUUAAUG